AUUGAACGCUGGCGGCAGGCCUAACACAUGCAAGUCGAGCGAGCGGCGGACGGGUGAGUAAUGUAUGGGAAACUGCCUGAUGGAGGGGGAUAACUACUGGAAAAGGUAGCUAAUACCGCAUACAAUAAGAUGAACCCAUAUGGGAUUAGCUUGUAGGUAAGGUAACGGCUCACCAAGGCGACGAUCCCUAGCUGGUCUGAGAGGAUGACCAGCCACACUGGAACUGAGACACGGUCCAGACUCCUACGGGAGGCAGCAGUGGGGAAUAUUGCACAAUGGGCGCAAGCCUGAUGCAGCCAUGCCGCGUGUAUGAAGAAGGCCUUCGGGUUGUAAAGUACGUUCAGUCGGGAGGCGUUACCGACAGAAGAAGCACCGGCUAACUCCGUGCCAGCAGCCGCGGUAAUAC
rnacentral:rRNA from 1 species